rnacentral:rRNA from 1 species
GUGCCAGCAGCCGCGGUAAUACGGAGGGUCCAAGCGUUGUCCGGAAUCACUGGGCGUAAAGGGUGUGCAGGUGGGGCAGCAAGUCAGAGGUGAAAGCCCGCGGCUUAACCGCGGACGUGCCUUUGAAACUGCUGCUCUUGAGUCCCGGAGAGGUUGCCGGAAUUCGUGGUGUAGCGGUGAAAUGCGUAGAUACCACGAGGAACACCAGAGGCGAAAGCGGGCAACUGGACGGGUACUGACACUGAGGCACGAAAGCGUGGGGAGCAAACAGGAUUAGAUACCCCUUAGUUC